rnacentral:rRNA from 1 species
AUUGAACGCUGGCGGCAGGCCUAACACAUGCAAGUCGAGCGGAGCGGCGGACGGGUGAGUAAUGCCUAGGAAUCUGCCUGGUAGUGGGGGAUAACGUCCGGAAACGGGCGCUAAUACCGCAUACUAGCAGAUGAGCCUAGGUCGGAUUAUCUAGUUGGUGGGGUAAAGGCCUACCAAGGCGACGAUCCGUACCUGGUCUGAGAGGAUGAUCAGUCACACUGGAACUGGGACACGGUCAAGAUUCCUACGGUGGGCAUCAGUGGGGAAUGUUGCACAAUGGGGGCAAGACUAAUGCAGCCAUGCCGCUUGUAUGAAGAAGUCCUUCGGGUUGUAAAGUACUUUCAGCGGGGAGGCGUUACCCGCAGAAGAAGCACCGGCUAACUCCGUGCCAGCAGCCGCGGUAAUAC